rnacentral:miRNA from 1 species
AUCCCCUGGGGAUUCUGUUAAAUGCAGACUCAGAUUCAGUAGAAAGCAGGUGGGGCCUGAGAUUCUGCAUUUCUAACAAGUUCCCAGGUAAU